AAAUUUUAUCACACUUUUGUUUCUGAGAGCGAUUGUUCUUUGGGGUAUCUUAUGCUGGUUUUUUAGGAUAAGUGAAAUUUUGUCUGUUAAAAGAUCAGAUGUUGUAUUUUUAGAUACGCAUUGUGAUAUUAAAGUUGAAAAGUCAAAAACGGACAUUUUAAGAGAAGGUAAUACUAUUCUGAUUGCAAAAACUAAUACAGACACAUGUCCUGUGAAAUUGUUUGAAAAGUAUUUGUGUGUUGCAGAUAUUGCAUGUUCAUCUACUGAUUAUGUGUUUAGACCAGUUUAUUUGUGUAAUGUUAAACACUGUUUCAAAUUGAUUUCCAAUAAUAAGCAUAUAAGUUAUUCUAUUAUAAAUGAUAGUUUUAAGAAGAAGUUAAGUCUAUUGGGUUAUGUUUCUUCUAAAUAUGGACUUCAUUCUUUUCGUGCUGGUGGAGCAUUUAUAAGUGCCAAUAAUAAGACUGUGGAUAGACUUUGGCAAAGACAUGGUAGAUGAAAAAGUGUUUCCACUAAGGACGGAUAUGUUAAAGAUUAUUUGAAAGACAGAUUAUCGGUGUCGCUAAAUUUAGAUUUGUGAAAAGUCAUUAUUAAUGUAUGUGUGAUUUGAAAUGUAUGAUGUGUUGUUCGUAGCACAUUUAAAGACACUAUAAUAUAUUAUUAUUAUAUAAAUGGUUUGGAAAUGCUUUUGAGUAUUAUUAAGUUCUGUGUUUGUGUUGUGUGUAUGUUCCUUGUGGUCAUUGGACCAAUUUGUUUACGUCCAUUUGGCCUCAUUUGGUAAGCCAGUUGGCUUGUAUGGUCAGUUGACCGUUUUUAAAAGCAAGUUGAUCUGAUGUGUGAAAGCCGGUUGGCUUUUGUGAGUUGACCUUAUUUUCUUAAAAAGCAUGUUCACAUGGAAUUAACAAUCUUUGCAAGUUUAUUUUUUGCAGUGCAGUAACUGGACAGUACGAAUGGUAUAUUAAGUAUUGGAGAACAUAAAGUUAAAACACAGUUCGAGAGGUAUAUAACGUGGUGGAGAAUAUUUGGGUAUUCAUUUUAUGUUUCAUAUUAUUUGUAUUCUCUCUUUGUUUUAUACGAAAGUCCUGUCAAAUACAAGCACUCACUCCUAUUUUGUCUUUGGUUUAUUAUUUGUAUGAUAAUGAUAAUGAUGAUGAUAUGGGUUAUAAAGAUGAUGAGAUUUUAAUAGUAUUUUGAGAAUAGAGAAUAAUAAAUUUACUCAUAACUAUGAGUAAAUGAAAUUAUUCUCGGUUUGAUAAAUACGGUAUAGUAUGGUUUAUUACGUGUUAUUUAGAAGAGAGAUUAUGGUAAUGGUUUAGCGCGAAUAAUGCACGGGUUUUGUGUGCAUGUUUUAGCGCGAAAGCGCACGAGUUUUUCGUUUUGGGGUAUAUAUGAUUUGCACAUCUAUUGAGUCGCCAUUCGAGGGUGUAUUUGACAGGCAAACGUUAUGGAACAAGAAAAUGAAAGGGUGAUAACCCCGCCCGCCCUUAAUGAGCAAAUGUAUGGUUAAAUAAUUGGUUACAUUGCUUUUAUGUUUAUAAUUUUGCAAUUAUAAAGUCUAUAUUUAGUAUAUUUUCAGUUCAGUUUUUAGUCCAUGUGAGAUGGGAUCUUAACACAAACCGAUUCCUUUACUGAGAAAGACGAUGGGUGUAUUUUCAUUUAAGUCUGAAGCAGCUGAGUUUUCUUGAUUAUUUUGACUCAUUUUUUACUUAAUAUUGUGUUUGAAUGAGGUUUUUUAAGUUAUUGUUGUCAUGUUUUUCGAGACUCUCACUUCCUGGAGAUAGUACCUCCAGCAUAUUUAUUGAAAUAUUAGAAUGUUUAAAUUUCAGUGUUAUUUUUUAUUGUCUUUCGUAAUGAACGUUUAAUUUUAAAGACAUUCUUAUUGUACGAUUACUUCAUAUUUUCAUUUUGGUGUGACUGGUAAGAUGUUGAAGUCGGUUUAAUAUAGCUGUUCGUCAUAUGCAUUUAUAUAUAUCUCGGAAUACUUAUUAUUUAUCAACAUUCUUUUUAGGUGCAUUAUGGAUUUUAUGGUUUGAGUGAUUUGUUUGUUUUUAUGUUGAUGUCCGGGGUGUGUGCGGGAUGCUUUUGAUGUUUGUUUGUUAUUUUAAUUUGCGCAAUGAAAUCGAUAAUGUUUUAAUUACAUUUUAUACUAAAUAAUACUUAAUGUUUACAGUAUAAUAAUAGCUGCUUAUUUGUAGAUUUCUCUAAAAUUAGAGGUUUCGGGAGGUGAUGAAGGCACCUAGACACCGGUCUUGAGCCAUGGGUCCUCAUACGUCCCCCUGCCAUUAAAAAAAAAAAUAAGAAAACAAAAAUGGCAGUAGGGUUGCGUAUCCCGCUCGCG